CCCUAUAUUUGGAAGUGAUAGUGGGUUGUCUGUGCCCUGGGCAUUGAUACUACAAGGAGAGGAUGCUGACAGCCUUUCCCCGUGUUUGGAGAGUCCACUCCAAACCCUGGUGCUUCUGAACA
rnacentral:snoRNA from 1 species